UACUGCCAUUGAAGUCGAUUCAUUAUAAGUAUGUAUAUGUCGUUAUUUAUAUGUACAUUAAUUUUAGAAUAUCGACCCCAAAAUUCAAGGUUAAAAAGGGAACGUACGGAGAGUUUAGUGUGUGGUUCUCCAAUUUAGAAUACGUUUAACGCUAGAUUUAUAACUUUUAUAUUCAAAAUAUUAAACAAAACUCCAAGUAAAGAUAUCAUAAUUGUUGAUAAACAAAUCUUUCAGUAUUUCACUUCUCAUAAGAACCUUCGGCGUUUGAUGGACCAGGGCUACUUUUUGAUGUGAAACAUCUAUAGGCGCUGGUAAACAUGAUUGUCGCCGUGGCGAUCGCCACGCUAUAUUACGUAGUGUCUAUACGUAGUCUAUAUGAAGCAUACAUAUACAUACAUAUAUGUAUAUUUUUCCGCGGCUGGCAAAAAUCUGUGUCGAUAUGUAUGCAAGCUCAUACAUAAACAUACAUAUUUACGCUGGCUUCUUUGAGAGGCUGCUACAGCCACGGUAGAGGAGGAGUAAGGUCACUAUCAGCUGAUGUUACGUAAACAAAGGCACAGCUGAGAGGUGCCACUGUAGAAACGUCAAGUGUAGUCCGGGGUUGAGUUUCUAUUGGAAUCCAAGAUGGCCGACUUUUAACCGGAAAAUGGUUGCAUUGUGUUAUUUUCUUAAAAUUUAUGGAAAAGUUGUCCCAAAAAUAUUGGUUAUAUAUAAAAGUUUAAUAUAUUUUCAAAAGAAAAUCGUUUUAUUUUAAUAUAUAUUCUUAAAGAUGAGAACAAUAUGAGCUAAUACAUGAAAAAUUAAGUUUUUUAUUUAUGCCUCUUUUUAACUGUGGUAAGUUAAUAAAUGUUCACCACAGAAAAAUGUUACGAACAAAUAAGCAACCAUGCCGAACAGUGGGGUCCAGAUUAUACUCAUUCACAGCCUUAUUUACAUUUUUGCCAUCGUAACGAAGGUUUUUGCAAGGCGAUUUGGUUGAGUUUAUUUCAUGGUUAAAUGCUUUACGAUGGUUUAUUUAGUUAUUUGAAUCUGGAAGAAGUGUGCAAAUUUCCCUUGAGACGAUAAAUAACAGAUCGGGUUGGGAUUUUAUUCCAAUAAAAGUACGGAAUAACUAAACAUGGCCUCGUUAAUACUGCUGCGUAAUGGGUCAGGCGCUGUUCCAAUUUUAUGAUUUAAGAGAUGUAAAAGCGAUACGCGAUGCUGUGAAGUACUCAAAUGUAUUUAUGAACUUAGUUGGUCGUGAAUUCGAGGCAAAAUUUUAAAUUCAAUGACGUGCUUGUGGAAGGUGCACGUCGCAUUGCUAGAAUCAGCAAAGAAGCUGGUGUAGAACGUGGAAGUAACUUUUAGAAAGGGUGGAAGUAACUUUUUGAAGAGCAAAUACUCCGGUGAGCACAUUCGGAUGUUGUACGAGCUAUUGUCGAUUGCACUUAGGAUCCCGAUACUUUCUAAUAUGCUAAACACCCACCUUGCAGACCAAAGCGUUACCAGUUGAGCGAAUUAAUUGACUGGUUUCAUCGUGUUAUGCGCAAUAAUGAAAAAUGGUGGGGAUACCGUCGUUAAGACAUGCGUUGCGAUUCUACCUUCUUAUUGAAAACCAAGUUCACUGAGCUUAUCUGUCCUGGACAACCUAUUGGUGAGCUACAUACGGAACGUAUCGAUCGCGAAUGUAUUACCGAUGUCGUUCCCUCCGACAUACCGUGGUUGAAGAAUUUUGGUGUACAAUUGGCCUCCAUGGAAGAGUAAGUACCAUGGGAAUUGUGGCCAUAUCGUGCUGCGCAAUAUUAUGAUGCCGAAUUGGGAGAGUGGGGGGAACCAGUUCCACCAAAACCGAUAGAACAUCGGGAAGAACUACGCUAAUAAUUAACAACACUCAUCAAAUGAAAGUUGGCAGCGUUGGUGACCAAGCAGCGAUUUGAAAAAGAAACAUUUGCAUCUACGCGAAUUACAAUUCGUCUUAAAAUCUAGUGAAUUAUGGUCGAUUAUGAAUGGUGUGGAAGUUGAUAUUUAAACUUAAAAAAACAAAUAAAUGUAAUUUGGCUAAUAAUGAAGUGCUAUUAAGGAA